GGCAGCUCCCAGUGUCAUGGAGACCACUGGAAGCUGAAGGAGCUACUGCCACCCAGAAAGCAGCAGAAGAAAGAAGAGGCCAGUGGUCUUGGACUAGCUGAGCCAGUAGCGAUGUUUAUCACUGUGAUGUUCGGAGCUGGUUGCCGGGAGCUGGUGAACCCCUGGUGCAGCCUGGUGAACUUCACUGUGCAUCUGAAACAGAAGGCUCGGGUCCCCCCAGAAGUAACCAUUGCCCUCCUGGCUGAAGACGGGCACUUGGUGAAGUUACAAGAGGAGACCACCCAGGCUCUGUCCAUGGCCUGUUCCCUGAUACAGGAACAAGGGACCUAUGUCCUGGUACAGACGGGAAAGAUGGGACCCCCACUCGCUAUGAGUCGCUUCUGGACAACCUGGAUGACCAGUAUCCAGAGUUAGCAGAGGAGCUGUGCUGCCUCUCCGGCUUUCCAACCACAAGCAAUGGUCAGAGGAGACGCACGGGCAUUCGACGUGGCCACCGGGAACAAGGUCCCCCCACUUCAAGGUCUCGAAGGGCGACCUCCCUAUCAUCUAAAAACCGCUAACUGGAGCCAGAGCCAGGUACAGAAAAGCAGGUCCUAUGAGCCGGCACACCGCAGCCAAGCUGAACUUGAAUCCAAGGGGACUGACCCUGACCUCAGCUUUAUGAUCAACUGCAAACAGCAAUUCAGUAGGGCUCCUCUUCCAGGAUCUGGCGGCGUUACUAAAAAGUUACAUCAGCAAGAAGGGAAAGGUCACAGACAGGAUGUGAGAGUCCCUGUCGUGUCCCCCCCCCCAUUUGAGUGCAGAGAAAAGGACCCAAGGACAAAAUAAGAAGAGAGAAGACACAGAUGUUCCUGUGGGCAGAGACAAUAGGCUCCUCUUGAGGUUUUAGGUCCCAGGGGACCACUUGCAAAUGCCUCUGCCCUCUCCCUACUUCGGAGUGUCCUUGACUAUCCACAAUGCAGAUAACAGUGUUCCUCCCAGCCCAGAAGUUCAAGUUCAGCCCAGGGUUAUAUAACAAGAUCCCCCACCCCCACCUCCUCUCUCCCACUUCCACAAAGAUGAAGUAUAGCACAUUAAUGAGACAGCCGUUCCCCCAUCUCCCCUGAUCCCCCCCCCCCAACCGACAGGGCAGGAAAUGGGCACACAGCAGGCUGUGGUCUAAAGUAAACUCUUUAAU
rnacentral:lncRNA from 1 species